UACGGAGGGUGCAAGCGUUGUCCGGAAUCACUGGGCGUAAAGGGCGCGUAGGCGGCUCAUGAAGGCUGUGGUGAAAGUCCGGGGCUCAACCUCGGAAUCGGCCGUGGCGACUCGUGGGCUGGAGCACUGUAGAGGCGGGUGGAAUUCCGGGUGUAGCGGUGGAAUGCGUAGAGAUCCGGAAGAACACCAGUGGCGAAGGCGGCCCGCUGGGCAGUGGCUGACGCUGAGGCGCGACAGCGUGGGGAGCAAACAGG
rnacentral:rRNA from 1 species